rnacentral:ncRNA from 1 species
CUAGAUAAAAAACAAUGUCUUCGGACUCUUUGAUGAUUCAUAAUAACUUUUCGAAUCGCAUGGCCUUGUGCUGGCGAUGGUUCAUUCAAAUUUCUGCCCUAUCAACUUUCGAUGGUAGGAUAGUGGCCUACCAUGGUUUCAACGGGUAACGGGGAAUAAGGGUUCGAUUCCGGAUAGGGAGCCUGAGAAACGGCUACCACAUCCAAGGAAGGCAGCAGGCGCGCAAAUUACCCAAUCCUAAUUCAGGGAGGUAGUGACAAUAAAUAACGAUACAGGGCCCAUUCGGGUCUUGUAAUUGGAAUGAGUACAAUGUAAAUACCUUAACGAGGAACAAUUGGAGGGCAAGUCUGGUGCCAGCAGCCGCGGUAAUUCCAGCUCCAAUAGCGUAUAUUAAAGUUGUUGCAGUUAAAAAGCUCGUAGUUGAACUUUGGGCCCGGUUGGCCGGUCCGAUUUUUUCGUGUACUGGAUUUCCAACGGGGCCUUUCCUUCUGGCUAACCUUGAGUCCUUGUGGCUCUUGGCGAACCAGGACUUUUACUUUGAAAAAAUUAGAGUGUUCAAAGCAGGCGUAUUGCUCGAAUAUAUUAGCAUGGAAUAAUAGAAUAGGACGUUUGGUUCUAUUUUGUUGGUUUCUAGGACCAUCGUAAUGAUUAAUAGGGACGGUCGGGGGCAUCAGUAUUCAAUUGUCAGAGGUGAAAUUCUUGGAUUUAUUGAAGACUAACUACUGCGAAAGCAUUUGCCAAGGACGUUUUCAUUAAUCAAGAACGAAAGUUAGGGGAUCGAAGAUGAUCAGAUACCGNUCGUAGUCUUAACCAUAAACUAUGCCGACUAGGGAUCGGGGUGGGUGUUUUUUUUAAUGACCCACUCGGCACCUUACGAGAAAU